UACGAAGGGGGCUAGCGUUGCUCGGAAUCACUGGGCGUAAAGGGUGCGUAGGCGGGUCUUUAAGUCAGGGGUGAAAUCCUGGAGCUCAACUCCAGAACUGCCUUUGAUACUGAAGAUCUUGAGUUCGGGAGAGGUGAGUGGAACUGCGAGUGUAGAGGUGAAAUUCGUAGAUAUUCGCAAGAACACCAGUGGCGAAGGCGGCUCACUGGCCCGAUACUGACGCUGAGGGACGAAAGCUAGGGGAGCGAAAGGG
rnacentral:rRNA from 1 species